AAUUAUUGUUUUCCUUUAGUAGCUUGCCGCAUAAUUCAUUCAAGCAUAUUUAGAGUGGAGCGGGAAUAUUCAAACAAGGAAAUGUACACCAUAUCUGUUAGUAUACAUGUGACACUUUCAUGUCUUUCGACUAAUGAUGCCUCCUACCAGGUAUCACUAAUAGCACAUUCAUCACAACAUUUGUAUAGCUCAUUCUGGUGUAAGUCUGUCCAAUUUAGAAAGGAUUUUAAAGCGGAUUCAUACAGGUUAUAGAAGUUAGAGUCAAAUAAUAUAAUAAGUGAUUUGUAUAGAAGUCAGGCACAGCCAUCCCUACCAUGGCAUCGGCGUGGCCUUCCCUGCCAGGCGCGGCGGCUCCUUGGUCCGAUCGCGGUGCUGAUGCAGAUGGAUCGACGAGGGUUAGCAGGCUCGCCGGCUGGUGUUUCCUCGGACGCAUCGCUGUUCCAAUCGUGAUGGCAUGACCAUAUGAGUCUACAAGACUUUGAGGCAGCUCAUUUGCGUGGAUGUUUGUGGCUGGGCACACAAUCCAUUAAUCCUUCAUAUUUUCGCACAGAAGAACGGAUGGUCCACUGUAGAAGAAGCACAAGCAUCAUGUGGCAUUGUAGUCAUUGGUGAAGAUUGAUAUGCACUCAAAUGCAAGACUUAUGAUGGUGUUUGGUGACCGAUAAAGAUGAUUGGAAAGCCUCUUUCCAAGCAUAAGCUUAGUUGUCCAUCUAGGGGUAUUGGUGGUCAUGCCGGAAGCCCGGAACAUAUGCUGAAUGAGGCAUCCAUGGUCAAGCUUCAAUAGACUUGCUAAAGUUAAAGAAGCUCAUGAUGAACUUUUGCAGACAAUGUUUCUGAUGUUCAAGAGAGAACUUUGUAAAUGAGGACAAUG